CCUACGGGAGGCAGCAGUGAGGAAUAUUGGUCAAUGGCCGGAAGGCUGAACCAGCCAAGCCGCGUGAAGGACGAAGGUGCCAAGCAUUGUAAACUUCUUUUGUCAAGGGACAAAAUCAGGCUCGAGAGCCUGACCGAGGGUACUUGAAGAAAAAGCAUCGGCUAACUCCGUGCCAGCAGCCGCGGUAAUACGGAGGAUGCGAGCGUUAUCCGGAUUUAUUGGGUUUAAAGGGUGCGUAGGCGGACUGUUAAGUCAGCGGUAAAAGCCCGGGGCUCAACCCCGGCGAGCCGUUGAAACUGGCGGUCUUGAGAUGUCGAGAGGUAUGCGGAAUGCGCAGGGUAGCGGUGAAAUGCUUAGAUAGUGCGCAGAACUCCGAUUGCGAAGGCAGCAUACCGGCGGCGAUCUGACGCUGAGGCACGAAAGCGUGGGUAUCGAACAGGAUUAGAUACCCCUGUAGUC
rnacentral:rRNA from 1 species